GUAUUUUAAAAGUCUGAGUGGCAAAGAGGAGUGCAUAUUAAUUUUAGACAACUUUUACACUUUACUUUUAUGCUUUUACAUAUGUAAUUGAAUUCUGAAUUUCCCCUUCUAGCUUCAGCCUGAAAAGGGUAGCCCAGAAUACACCUACACACUUUUUGAUCCUUUCAGAAAAAAACCCAAAAACCUGAAGGAACCUUAUGAAACUUUAAAAACAAGUCUCUGUGCACAAAGAAUGCUUCAUUUCUAUGCAUCUUUUUAAUAGACACUGUCAUAGGCAGACCAGAAACCACAAAAACUCUGUUUUAACCUGAGAUCUGUCCCAAGGUGUGUCUUGACAAAAGAAGCAACACUGGUACUCACAAAGGCAUCACUGAGGCUGGAGUCUUAAUCUGUGUAAAUAUCUUGGACCUCUUUAAUUAUUUCCAUAUACAGGAGAAAGCUGCAUUUAUGAGGAAGCAAAAAGCAUUAUACCUGUAAUGAAAAAAAGGUUCCUUUAUUAAGAAUAACUACACCUAAAUUGCAAUUAUGUAACAAUUUUAUGAAGAAAUCACCUCCUGAUCAAAAUUGUUAUGUAACAAGCUCAAAAUCUGAGUAGAUUAGGAGCACAUAAUAGUGGAUUUUUUUAUUUGGUCAUCCAGGGAAAAAUGUAAUUUCAGUUGUGCCAAAAAAAAAUGUUGCUCAAUUUUUUGGCUUUUAUAACAUUGCUGACCCCUUCAAAUUAGGUCAGUUUUUAAACAAAAGCAUAAUUUAAAUGAGAAGUAUCAGUGUUUCAUUUCAGAAAUAUUCACUGUUUCCUUGUUGCAGUCCUCCAGAAUGAGACAUUCUGCAAGCUUCUGGAAGCUGUCCCAAAUUCACAAAUGUUUUCAGAUUCUGCAAAAGUGAGUGUAAAAGGUCCUGGGUGUGCACUGGUUCAGCGUGCACGGCGCAGACAUCAUGGCUCGUGUGUGUUGUUUGGGAGCUGAUCUUACAGUCUUCUCUGGCCAAUUUAAUAAACAGUGAAGUGCAGAGUGCUUGGCAUCAAAAGUAGCACCAUCUGUUCUCAAAGCAUGGAUCCUUGUCUCAGGGAAGGGAGCUGCUGUUGUUUUUCAUGAGAAGGUAGGUAGUUGCCUCACUGGAGGGGAGAUCUGGAGUUCUCAGA
rnacentral:lncRNA from 1 species